AAAUUUCAAUUCACCACUAGCAUAUAUAAUGUAAUAAUACAACGCAAGUUAAGAAAAAAACAGGAAGAUCACGUGGCGAGUCACGUGGCUGGGUUCAUCGCGCACAGAAAAGGCAGGCGCUCACCACACGCCCUCCUCUGCCUCGUUUUCUUCCGCCACACUCUCCGUCUUCCUCCCCUCCUCCCAACCAAAUCCUUUGUUAUUUUUCUUCGAAAUCUAUUGAAUUUCUCUUAAUCCAAGACCCCAUUUGUCCUGCCCAGCAUUUCCAACUGCAGGUGAGGAUAUAAGGCCCUAUUCAGUUCUUAGAGACGGUUAUCGGAUCAUGGGUUCACAGGAUCCUGUUCCGGCGGCUGACAAGGCCAAUGUAACGGAGGCCUCAGUGCGCGGGGCUUGUUCUCGAAAAAAGAUUCAGGGGAAAAUACCUAAGAGAAUCCACAAGGCUGAGAGGGAGAAACAGAAGCGUGAGCAUUUUAACGAGCUUUUCCUUGAGCUGGCCGAUGCUCUUGGAUACAAGGCCCUAUUCAGUUCAUAGAGACUAUUAUCGGAUGAUGGGUUCACAGGAUCCUGUUCUGGCGGCUGGCAAGGCUAAUGUAACGGAGGGCUCAGUGCGCGGAUGACCCAUGCAUGAGAAGAAUGAGAUCAGAGAGGAGGAUAAUUCUGCUGACAGAGUCUCCUGCAGACGAUCACCAAUGGCUUACUUGUUGGAUUUAAUUUGCUCUGAUUACGCUGUUUGAACUGAUAACCAUUGCCAAAGCCAUUGAGUGGUAAUUCUUUUUCUCUUUCAAAAUGUAGUUCCUAUGUUUUAUAUAUGGGUUUGCAUUUAAUGUGAUUUUUCGAAAGGUAUAUUGGUUGUAUAAAACUGAUUCAUAAAAUUUUAGCGUGAAUUUUUCAUUUUGCUGUUGUAGUUAACUUUGUAA